CUCAGCUAAACCUUGCCUUGGUGCAGAGUAUCACUGAGGUCAGCUGCGCCAUCCAGGCUGUGGGUGAUUGCCCCAGCUUUGGGCUCUUCUCAAAGCAGGAGGCACUGAGGACACUGCUGCCAGCAAAGUGAAGACAUCUCUGAGCAGGAAGGAAAAUCGUACCUACUGUCUGAGUGCUGCCAAAGUAUCUUUUCCCAUCUAUUCAUUGAAGGCAUAAAAGCAAGAUGGAGGCCAAUGAGGGCAGCCGUGAACAUCAAGGAGAUGUUGUUUGGUGGCACAUCAAUGCUCAGCUGCUUUCUUUAAAAAUCGCAAGAAUGCUUUUUGUCCAAUGAUGAAGACGUCAUUUUUAUCAGAUGCCUGUGAGAGAAGAGCCGAGCUUAAUGCAUGGCAAUAAAAAGAGGAAUAUGAGAAUUUCUGCUCCCUUUGGUUUUAGCUUUAGUUAAGAUGUAUGAAUGCACAUGAAUGGUCCCAUCAGGAUCUCUGGGGGUACUGUCAUACAGGAUCUAACAUGUUAUUGCUUCUGACCACAAUAGCCGCUGUUCAGGAAGAAGGAAAAAGAUACAACCAUCCCACAGUCAAAGAGAAAUCUUUCUGAAUUUCAUGCCCUGGAAGUCUGAAAUGAACUCUGCUGUGAAAAUAUUGUGCUUAUCGUCUCCAGUCAGGGAUGAAUGACUGCACACUCCUUAAACCUGCAGUUGGAAAACCAAAAUAAAUCAUUGCUGCAUAUCAGAUCUUGCACCUUUUACUCAUGGAAAGGAUUCUGCUUAACUCAUACAAAUAAAGAUGACAUGACCAAGUGUGACAUCCUUUAUGGGAUGUACGCUUAUCAGAAAAAAUACUCUGUCAUUUCCAUCCUCUGAAUCAAUUAUUUACCAAAAGAGACUGGAAGUUUCUUUGCAUUACUCUAAAAGAUAAGCUAACUGAUAAAAAUAAGCCAACUGGAGAAUUUAUUUAAAUCAUCUUCAUUAGUCUAUAUCAGAUCUGGAUGCUACUACAAUGGACAAGUUCAUUUGGCAGAAGCAAAAAUCUUAGAACAUGCUUAUGGCAUAGAUCUCAAAUUUUUCCUGUUAUUUACAUUUCCUGACAAAUAAGUGGAAAUUAUUCAAAAGCACUGGAAUGAGUUUAAUCAUUGUAUGUUUGUCAUCUGAAAUUGGAGACGAAUGAUGACCGUUUGUAGUGCACCAAAAGGGAAUAUCCCACACUUUGCAAUGGAACUCCCUGUGGUCCUCGUUCAUGAGUUACAGCAUAUCAGAACAAGAAAGUGGUCUGUUUGAUCCAGCGAAUGUUAGCAAGACCUUUACGUGUCUGAAGUGCAACAGACGAUCCUCCAAGGGGAGCACACUGACUGGCAGCAGUUCAUUAGAGCAGCUUGGAAACUCAUCAGCAAUUACACAGAGUGCUUUGCAGGGGGAACCUCUCUCAUCCUCAUGUUCUGUGCAAAAUGAGACACCAUUUUGGGUGUCACUUAAGAAAAAAGAUAGAAGAGUAAUUAGCACCAAGAAGAAACAAGCUAGGGCACAUAACUGUAAAACUGCUCAUCCACAGCCAAGUGUUCCACAGAAAUAUCGCUUAUGAAAAAGAAGAGUUAAAAGUGUCCUUCAGACUUGUAGAGCUGGGAGGUAUGCAGAUACGCAGAAUCUCCAGGAAAAACAACAAAAGACAUGAUUACUGAAUGAUAACCUUCUUCCUUUGGGAAAUGGAGCCACUACAGUGACUUUGAAGGGCCAACUUGAAAUGUUGCAGCUCUGCAGUGUGGAGUAAGGUCUGGGGCUGCAGUGAGGAUUAGAGCACAGCAGAGCUGUUCCUGGCUCUGCAGUGAGGUGCUCCUGCAGAUAUGGCGGCAGUUUUGUGCUCGGUUUGUCUUCUUGCACAUCUUCUUACAGAAGAAGCCGUUGGGAGAACGAUGGGAAUGGCAGACAUUACUGUACAUCUUCCUGAUGAGGAAAAAAGAAAGGAGGUGUUUGUAACUGUUGGUGAAUAACGCUCUGACGGCAUCAUAGACCGCCUGCUUGACUCUGCAGUGCAGGAGAAACACAGCACAGCACUUUUACUUUGGUUCCAAUGAAUUUUCAGCACACCAGAGAAGAGCAUGGGGCUGGCAGGUAGAGCAAGUAGAGUGUAGGGGGGUGUAUGCUGGCUUUAUGCCAUUCUACGACAAAUAGCACAGAGAGGGUCACUGUGGGACUGAGUGGGACUGCUCACCCACACAGGCUGGUACAAAGGGUGUAAGAAAAGAAAAUGGGAAUGAGUGCCCUCAGCUGCAGGAGCACAGGCAGCAGAGGGCUCCAGGCCCUGUGGGACUCCGGAUGGCUCCUGGCUCUCAGCCCUGCACGAGGUGUCCCUUCACCACGGCUCUAUGCCAGGGCAGGAUUGCAUGGCCCCUUUGGAGCUGGGCUCUGUGGGAUGGGGCAGCUGGGACCACCUGCCACCUCCCUCUGCUGCCAUGGUGGGAGCUGCAGCACCCCAAUCUGUCACCGGGUUGCCCCCAGCGUAGCAGUCUGAGGAGAGGGUUGAAGUGCAGCUGGGUGUGGUUUGGGGAAAGUCAGCUUCUGAGGGAAGCUGCCAGGGGGUUCUAUCUGCAGACUGAAGCAGGUACAGUACAGGGACAGAGACAGCACCGGGACAGAGGUAACACAGGGACAGGACUGGGACAGGGGCGGGAAAGAACAGGAAAGGGACAGGCAGAGACAGGGGCAGUAUAGGGAAAAGUGUAGGUGUAGGGAUGGAGACAGGAUAGGGAUGGGGAAGAAAAGGUGUAGGAGCAGGGACAGUACAAGGACAGUACAAGCAGCUGUGAAGUGGUAUGGAGGUGCUGUGGGUACGCAGGGAGGGCAGGGUGUUAAGGGUGUCUGGGAGUGCAAGAGCUCAUAGAGGGGACAGAAGAGGACUGCUGCCAGUGCUCAGGGAUCUGUAGGGCUGUGGGUGUGGGGUGCUGGGUCUGUUUGUCCCAUUGUUGAGGAAUAGGGAACUGCAGGAACGGAGCAUCUGCAGGUGCUGCUAUCCCUGCAGAGCAGGGACACAUUGCAGCGUGCCUCCCAUAGCACCACCCAGUCCCAGGACAUGGCUGUCCUACAGGCACUGACCUGUAGGAACAACUGUAACAGUCACAGGUACAGCUGUUGAUAUACACACUUCAUGUGUUGCCUUAAUGCAGAUUUUAUCAUUCCCCGUCUUACCUCCAUGGUCAACACCAGCAGGAAAGUGGGUUUAACACUCAAUGAGGCCAAUCUCAGAAUCAGGAGCCAGGGGAAGUUGCAGAUGUGCUUCUUUAUCCUCUGCAUGGAAAUAGCUCCCAAGAGGGUUUUCUCCAUCCCCUUCCUAGCAAUGGAGGUGAUGCAGUUCCUGAUCACAGAGGCACUUGGGGACACUGAUUCAUGUGCUGUACCCCACUGCUCCAUCUCCAGUGCUGGAGCUGUACCCAUGUGCAUCAGGAGCCCCCUGGGUGCCUGGCCCCUUUCUGGCUCAGGGUGCUUUGUGUCCUCCCAGUGGCAUCGCUUCUGCCUCAGUUUCCUCAUCAGACCCCAUCUGACAGGGGAGACCCCAGUACACAGGGAUGGGGUGAGGAUGUGAGCUUGUUGUUGGUAUGACUCGUCUUUUAGGAGCAUCUUGAAAAUUAGCUUAUCUAUCUAGCCUGUCAAAAGGGAGAUUAACCCAAUGGUUAACUAACCAAAUGUGUUUGAAUGGGAGAGGGGGGGUCAAGACGUCAUGGCCUCUGCAGACCUCUCUCCAAACAUGUAGACAUAGUGCACCCAAAUGUACAUAAGGAAUGUGCCUUUGUUCUAUUAGUGUGCACGAUUAGGUGGAAGGAUUCCCUAUUCAUCCAUGACAAAUUAAAAAAUGCCUGCUUCUUAAUAUCACAUUGGUUUUAAGGAGUUUAAUUUGGGCUGGAGUUUGUCUGGCAACAGUUUUGGUGACCCAGGUGGGACAUCACUUCUGAGCUUCAGCAGAUUCCGGGGUCGCAGGAGCCCCAUCAGGCACUGAGGAGAUUUUCGGGGAGAGCCUCUGAUCUCUGAGUUGAAAAGCUGAAGGUGUUUUUAGGGGUUCACAAGGAGAUUCCCUCUGGAGUGCUUGUUGAAGCACUGGAAAGAGAUAGGAGAGGAUCCAUAUACCAAAAGACAGCUGGGGGAAUACUGCAGUCAUUGUUGGUCCCUGUACAUUUUGGAGGAUUUGGAUGGACUAGAAGCAAAAGAUUUAAGCAUGUUAAUGAAUGGAGCAUGGAAGUUGUAUAAUAACUGGGAGAGAGAGCAGAGACCAGACAGGCCUACUGAGAAGGAAGGAUGAUCACGGCCUCGAUUCAGGCUCAGGGAGGACCCAGAGAGGGAGAGGGAGGGGCUGGGGUGGUUCACCUCCCUUGAAAAAUACAUAUAGGCAAGACAGUGCUGGAGAUGCCAUGGCACUGCUCACUGACAGAGAAUGCCCACUCACCAAAGUCUCAAUCCCUCCAGCAGCAGUUGUGCCCCGUAGUGAGCAAUGAGAAGGACGGGAAAUCAUUCCCAGCUGAACCCCUGGUUACUAUACACCUGGGAAACAGAAAAGUGGACUUUCUGGUGGACACCAAAGCCACAUGUUCAGUUUUAAAUACAUAUAGAGGUAAUUUUAGUAGUAAAACUGUAAAUACUGUUUAUGUGCUGACACACAGGGCAAGAGAACCGCCCAUUUUCACAACCUUUGAAAUUCAGAUUAGGGAAACAAAGGCUAAGGCAUUAAUUCUUAGACAUGCCAGACUGCCCUGUCCAUCAGUUAGGGAGGACUUGUGGAGUAAGUUAGGGGCACAAAUGAGCUUCAAGGUCAGAGAAGUUCUAUUCCAGCUCCCCGAAUGCAAAGCAGAAGAGAUAAGAGCCUUGUUGCUGAUGAAUUCCUACCACAGGCAGAGGAAAUACAAAGGAAGUGGAGGAUGCAGUAGUGCCUCUGAAUUGGGGCAGUGAGGUCCCAGGAUGCUCAAAACAAGCUAUUCCAGUGAAGAUACUCUUGAAAUCAGAGGUUAAACCAGUUACACAGAGCCCAAUGAAACUAGAGGCCAGGCAAGGGCUUUCAGAACUGACAUCAAAUUUUGUGAAACUUGGUCUACUAGUGGAAUGUAAAUCUGAGUACAACACAUUUAUACUAGUGGUUAAGGAUCCACAUGGGAAAGAGUACAGGUUGUGCAGGAUCUGAGAGCAGCUAAUCAGAUCACAGAGGAUAUACAUCCAGCAGUGGCAAACCCCAAACUCUGUUAAUGGCUUUGAAAGAGCAACACAGAUGGUUUAUAGUGUUAGAUGUCAAGGAUGAUUUAUUCUGUAUACCUCUGAAUGUGGAAAGUGAGGCAACUUUCACAGUAGAAUGGGAAAAUCCAGAGACCAAUUAAGACUCAACUCACAUGGACAGUUCUGCCACAAGGUUUUAAGAAUAGCCCAAGUACGUUCAGGAACCAAUUAACCAAGAGGUGGAGGUAUGAAAAGAGAGACCCUGCAAGGAGGGCUUGGUGUUACUGCAAGAUGGGGGUUGCACAGUCCUGGCUGCAGGCACCAGUGAGGAAUGCAUGUGCAUGACAGUCAGUUUACUAAAUCUGGGGCUCAAGAUUUUGCAGAGACAGCAAUUGUUAGGGAUGGAUGGGAAGGAGGAGAUCUGCUUGACUCUGGAACCUUCAACUUUCAGAGAGCUUACAGUCUUCCUCUGGAUGACAGGUUGGUACAGACUGUGGAUCCCAAACUGCAGACUCCCAGUAAGACCUCUCUUUGAAACUCUAAUAAGCCUGGGGGAGAAACAUUUGGUAACCCAAGAGACAGAAAGCCUUUAAGGAGUUAAAGAUAGCAUUAAUGUCAGCCCCCUGCUCCAGGGGUACCAGACUUACCCAAAGCUUUUGAGCCAUUUGUUCAUAAAAGACAGCAUCCAGCACUGGGUGUACAGUUAUGUCCCUGGAAAAGAGUGGGGGGCACUUCCGUAAACAGCCAGAUAAUAUCAGCAAAGGAUGGCCUGCAUUUCUGAGAGUGCAGCAGCGAUGGUCCUGCUGAUACAGGAAGUCCAAAUGUUGGUCUUGGGCAGAGGCUGUAUGUACCACAUAUGGUUAUCUCAGGGCUGGAUAAAUAAGGGGGGGAAUUAGUCAUAACAAUGUGGAGCUUAAAAGCACAAUGGCAACUAAUCUGGCCAAGGUUCUCAUCCUGGAAGGUGAGGGAAACGCGGACUUGAAUGAUGACUAUUUGCAGAACACUGAACAAGAAUAUUCCAGCUGCCAGGAUCUGAAGGACAAGCACCUCUCCGAACCAGAUAUAACAUUGCUCACUGCCGGCAGUAGAUUUGUCCAAGAGGGACAGCAGAAGGUGAUGAGUUUACAAUAGGUACAACCACCAAAGUGGUGGAAGCAAAAGCCCUGGAAGCCAACACUUCAGCUCAAAGGUGGAGCUGAUAGCACUGACAUGGUGCUGCAGGUCAAAGAGGCUUAUGGUUUGUUAUAUUGAUCUCAAUCCCUCCAAAUUAAGAGUCAGAACAAAGUCAAGCUGUUGACUGAGCAAGGGUGUGUUUUAUUUUCUUCUUAAAAGGUGGGCAAGUGAGGGAGUAAAAGGAAAAGAGAAGAAGAGGAGAGAGAAAAAAAAGGAAAGAAAAGCAAGUCACCACUGCAGAUCACAUGAUGUCCUGAGGGUCCGUCUUCCUGCUUCUCUUUCUAGGGUGGUCAGGAUGUGGUGGGGCUAGCACUGCUGGCUGUGGGGCUGGCUUUGCCUGUGAUGGUUCCUUCCAAUUGGGCCAGGACCUGCUGCCAGGCAGAGAAUGCCCAGUGCCACACACUGCCACGAGCUGCACCACUGUGCUUCUCCCUUCUAUGGUGGUUGUGUCUGGGGAGAGGGAGACCCAACACCACCAACAGCAGGACAGCUCACCUCUGGCUUCUGUCAUGCUUUCGUACAACGUGUAUUUUUGUUCUGCAGCUCUCACAAAAGUGUGACAGUUAAGGUUUUGUUCUGAGGCCUUCACAGAACUGUUACGGCUGUUUUUAGUCACCAGUUAGCUGCAAGUCCAUCUCUUAACCAAUCAGGAGGGUGAGAAAUCACUAUGUUACAGUUCCAUAUGGUGUCAUAGAGCCUGUGCCAGAAAGCAAAACGUCACUUCAUUCCCACAACUUCCUUUAUGCCUUCCCCUUCCCAUGUCCCUUUACCCCUUCCCUUCCCCUUUCCUUCUGUUUCCUCUUCCACUGCCUCCUUCUCUACCCACUCCCACCUUCACCUUUCCCUUUCCCCUUUCACUUGCCUUUCCCAUUCCCCUUCUACCUUCUG